rnacentral:tRNA from 1 species
UCCCUGGUGGCUCAGAGGUUAAAGCGUCUGCCUGCAAUGCAGGAGACCCGGAUUUGAUCCCUGGGUUGGGAA